rnacentral:misc_RNA from 1 species
UUCAACCUAAAACCAGAUGAUUCUGAUCAUAAUGCUUUCUUAAGAUGUUCUGAUCAGAAUCAUCUGGUUUUAGGUUGAAACCAUAUUCAGAAUCAACAGGAGUUGCACAAAUUACGAUGUACACUGUCGAGGUUGAAAAUUACAGCACCUAAAUGCAUUCAUUUAAAACACAUUCACCUGGUAGGAUUGAAUUUUCUAAGUCUGCUUACAAAAGAAAAAGCCCGUAGGUCUCCCAUCAAAAAAAAGACAAGUUUAUUUGUGCCUCUUUUAUAGUUGCAUACUUGCAUUAACCGCUAAGCUUGAUGGAUGAGAUAAGAAAUAGGAACCACAACUAAAUCCUCUCUACCGAAUCAGAAAUAUGUCAUCUACAACUCCCGACCAUGGGAAUAUGGGAUGAACUUCUGCUCAUUUUCUUUUCGCUAAUUGGAAACUUUUAAAAGAUGGAGUGUCAGGUUUGAAUUUUUAACUCUUGCAUUUUAAGGCAGUGAGUGUAACUUUAACUACAGCUUCAUUCAGGGAGUUUAAGUUGCUCGCGAUUCUUCCAACUCUUUAUGUAGUAGUAGAAAAAGUCAGCAAAGAGAGCAGUCUGAACAAAGCCUGAAAUCCACGGUAUCCAGCGGAAAUUAAUUCCCUCUACAAAGAAUCGAUAAAUCCAAUUGACGAUAUACAAAGCUCGGUAAGCACCAAGAAGGAAAACAUAGUUGACAGUCAAGUUGUCAAUGUUCCUUGAUCGUUGUAGCAAUAACAAUUGGGGUAAGAUAGCUACUGCUUCAAGAUAAAUUGAAAAUGCCCACAAAACCUCAAUCACAUCAAAGGAACGAUGAAUCAAAAGGGCUAGCAC